rnacentral:ncRNA from 1 species
CUGCAUGAAGACCGGUGUUCGGCUGUCCGCCGUUCUGAGAUCAUACGGUUAAACUUGAUCUGGAUAAUUCCAGCGAAAGGACUUAUGCGCUUCUGCUU